CCAAUCCCGGGGCGCCCUGCGUGAGGCCCCGCCCCCGGCGCCGCGCUGCGCGCGCCGUGCCCAUGGGGGCGCCGGGAGCCAGUGCUGGGCCCCGUGAGGAGAAGGGUGGCGGAUCACUCACCCUCUGACAAGCUCACGUGAACGCACGUAUGGUCCGGUGCGUGUACAGCACACCCAGAGGCAAAUCAAGAAGUAAUUAUAGAACAAGCUUUCUAGCGCCUCACACACAGUCACACCUCCUCCAAGAUCUGUGAAAAUGGAAAGAACCAGUUACCCCCCGGAUACUGACGACACUGGGAGGCAGAAACCGGAAAGAGUCCGCACUUCGCCUGUGGUCCCAAGAAAUGGCAAGGUCUAAGUGAUCUAUCUGUGCUUUGAAGAACACAGAAAAGAAACAAGAGAAAGAUGGAGAAAAGAAAGGGGAGUUCUUUGAAUUCCAGACAUCUAACAAACAGCCCACCUCCACCCCACUCUGCCUUCAAAUGAUGACACUGCGAGUUACCGCUUGGAAAUUCAUAGAAUUAAUAAAAAGGAAGGGGAAGGAGAAUUUA